GAUAAACGCUGGCGGCGCACAUAAGACAUGCAAGUCGAACGAACUUAAUUCGAAAGUUUACUUUUGAAAGCGGUUAGUGGCGGACUGGUGAGUAACGCGUAAGCAAUCUGCCUAUCAGAGGGGAAUAACAGUGAGAAAUCACUGCUAAUACCGCAUAAGCUGUGAGGAGCACAUGCUCUAAAUAGAAAAGGAGUAAUCCGCUGAUAGAUGAGCUUGCGUCUGAUUAGUUAGUUGGUGAGGUAACGGCCCACCAAGACGAUGAUCAGUAGCCGGACUGAGAGGUUGAACGGCCACAUUGGGACUGAGAUACGGCCCAGACUCCUACGGGAGGCAGCAGUCGGGAAUAUUGCGCAAUGGAGGAAACUCUGACGCAGUGACGCCGCGUGCAGGAAGAAGGUUUUCGGAUUGUAAACUGCUUUAGACAGGGACGAAAUAAAUGACGGUACCUGUAGAAUAAGCUCCGGCUAACUACGUGCCAGCAGCCGCGGUAAUACGUAGGGAGCAAGCGUUAUCCGGAUUUAUUGGGUGUAAAGGGUGCGUAGACGGAAAGACAAGUUAGUUGUGAAAUACCUCGGCUUAACUGAGGAACUGCAACUAAAACUAUCUAUCUUGAGUACAGUAGAGGUGGGCGGAAUUCGUGGUGUAGCGGUGAAAUGCUUAGAUAUCACGAAGAACUCCGAUUGCGAAGGCAGCUCACUGGACUGCAACUGACACUGAUGCUCGAAAGUGUGGGUAUCAAACAGGAUUAGAUACCCUGGUAGUCCACACAGUAAACGAUGAAUACUCGCUGUUUGCGAUAUACAGUAAGCGGCCAAGCGAAAGCAUUAAGUAUUCCACCUGGGGAGUACGCCGGCAACGGUGAAACUCAAAGGAAUUGACGGGGGCCCGCACAAGCGGAGGAACAUGUGGUUUAAUUCGAUGAUACGCGAGGAACCUUACCCGGGCUUAAAUUGCAGUGGAAUGAUGUGGAAACAUGUCAGUGAGCAAUCACCGCUGUGAAGGUGCUGCAUGGUUGUCGUCAGCUCGUGCCGUGAGGUGUCGGCUUAAGUGCCAUAACGAGCGCAACCCUUAUCUUUAGUUACUAACAGGUUAUGCUGAGGACUCUAGAGAGACUGCCGUCGUAAGAUGUGAGGAAGGUGGGGAUGACGUCAAAUCAGCACGGCCCUUACGUCCGGGGCUACACACGUGUUACAAUGGGGGGUACAGAAGGCAGCUAGCGGGUGACCGUAUGCUAAUCCCAAAAUCCUCUCUCAGUUCGGAUCGAAGUCUGCAACCCGACUUCGUGAAGCUGGAUUCGCUAGUAAUCGCGCAUCAGCCACGGCGCGGUGAAUACGUUCCCGGGCCG
rnacentral:rRNA from 1 species